rnacentral:rRNA from 1 species
AGAGUUUGAUCCUGGCUCAGGACGAACGCUGGAGGCGUGCUUAACACAUGCAAGUCGAGCGAUGAAGCUUCUUCGGAAGUGGAUUAGCGGCGGACGGGUGAAUAACACGUGGGUAACCUGCCUCAUACAGGGGGAUAACAGUUAGAAAUGACUGCUAAUACCGCAUAAGACCACGGAGUCGCAUGACUCAGUGGGAAAAACUCCGGUGGUAUGAGAUGGACCCGCGUCUGAUUAGGUAGUUGGUGGGGUAACGGCCCACCAAGGCGACGAUGCGUAGCCGACCUGAGAGGGUGGACGGCCACACUGGGACUGAGACACGGCCCAAACUCCUACGGGAGGCUGCAGUAGGGAAUCUUCCACAAUGGACGCAAGUCUGAUGGAGCAACGCCGCGUGAGUGAAGAAGGCUUUCGGGUUGUAAACCUCUUUUGUUAGGGAGCAAUGGUCGGCAGAGUAACUGUUGUCGGAAUGACGGUACCCAAGGAGGAAGCCACGGCUAACUACGUGCCAGCAGCCGCGGUAAUACGUAGGUGGCAAGCGUUAUCCGGAAUUAUUGGGCGUAAAGAGGGAGCAGGCGGCAGCAAGGGUCUGUGGUGAAAGACUGAAGCUUAACUUCAGUAAGCCAUAGAAACCGGGCAGCUAGAGUGCAGGAGAGGAUCGUGGAAUUCCAUGUGUAGCGGUGAAAUGCGUAGAUAUAUGGAGGAACACCGGUGGCGAAGGCGACGAUCUGGCCUGUAACUGACGCUCAGGUGCGAAAGCGUGGGGAGCAAAUAGGAUUAGAUACCCUAGUAGUCCACGCCGUAAACGAUGAGUACUAAGUGUUGGAAGUCAAAUUUCAGUGCUGCAGUUAACGCAGUAAGUACUCCGCCUGGGGAGUACGACCGCAAGGUUGAAACUCAAAGGAAUUGACGGGGGCCCGCACAAGCGGUGGAGUAUGUGGUUUAAUUCGACGCAACGCGAAGAACCUUACCAGGUCUUGACAUUGAUGGACAGAACUAGAGAUAAUCCCCAUAGUUAUGGAGAAGACAGGUGGUGCAUGGUUGUCGUCAGCUCGUGUCGUGAGAUGUUGGGUUAAGUCCCGCAACGAGCGCAACCCCUGUUGCCAGUUGCCAGCAUUGAGUUGGGGACUCUGGCGAGACUGCCUCUGCAAGGAGGAGGAAGGCGGGGAUGACGUCAAAUCAUCAUGCCCCUUAUGACCUGGGCUACACACGUGCUACAAUGGACGGAUCAGAGGGAGGCGAAGCCGCGAGGUGGAGCGAAACCCAGAAACCCGUUCUCAGUUCGGACUGCAGUCUGCAACUCGACUGCACGAAGUUGGAAUCGCUAGUAAUCGCGAAUCAGCAUGUCGCGGUGGAUACGUUCCCGGGCCUUGCACACACCGCCCGU